rfam:Lupinus angustifolius cultivar Tanjil chromosome LG18, whole genome shotgun sequence.
AGGCCUGUAGCUUAGAGGAUUAAAGCAUAUGACUAUGAACCACAGUGUCGGGGUUCGAAUCCCUCCUCACCUA